AGUGAACGCUGGCGGUAGGCCUAACACAUGCAAGUCGAACGGCAGCACAGUAAGAGCUUGCUCUUACGGGUGGCGAGUGGCGGACGGGUGAGGAAUACAUCGGAAUCUACUUUUUCGUGGGGGAUAACGUAGGGAAACUUACGCUAAUACCGCAUACGACCUACGGGUGAAAGCAGUGGAUCUUCGGACCUUGCGCGAUUGAAUGAGCCGAUGUCGGAUUAGCUAGUUGGCGGGGUAAAGGCCCACCAAGGCGACGAUCCGUAGCUGGUCUGAGAGGAUGAUCAGCCACACUGGAACUGAGACACGGUCCAGACUCCUACGGGAGGCAGCAGUGGGGAAUGUUGGACAAUGGGCGCAAGCCUGAUCCAGCCAUACCGCGUGGGUGAAGAAGGCCUUCGGGUUGUAAAGCCCUUUUGUUGGGAAAGAAAAGCAGCAGGUUAAUACCCCGCUGUUCUGACGGUACCCAAAGAAUAAGCACCGGCUAACUUCGUG
rnacentral:rRNA from 1 species